GUCAUUUCUUCCACAGGAUUUCACAUUGGUUGUGUUGCAAGAAAUGUGUCUAGUAUGCAGCAUUUACAGUUUGUCUGUUAGGUAUUUGUGCAUCUGAAAUAGCAGGUCAUCCAGGCCUAAGCUCGUUGCUCAUGUUUUCACUUGAAUGCAUUCACCCGCUUCCUUAUUGUACCAUAUGGUAAUGAAUCAGCACCGUAGGCCUCUACAAAUCUCCAAUAGUACUCCUUUUUGGUAUGGCCCCUCACAGUUUCAAUUUAAAGCCAAGAAUACUCUUUCAACUUGGAAAACAUGUUCCUCCACUGACCUUCUGCUCUGCAGAUUGUGUGACAUUAAUAUGAGCUUGCACCAUGUGUCAAUAACCCUUACAGUAAUCGGAGAAUGGUGCCAUGUGCAAUCUUGAUUGUAUGCACCAAUACAAUCAAGAUUGCAUGGCACCAUUCUCCUCUAGCACUGCUGUGAUCACUAUUAAAUUUCCAAUCCAUGUAUAUAUUCUUGAA
rnacentral:lncRNA from 1 species